CUCAGCAGAGAAAAAGCUAGGAAGGCCCCAGGGGUCUCACUGCGCCCCAGGACACUCAAUCCAGGAACCCCAGCCUCGGCCUGCUGCUCUGAUCUUCAAUAGCCAACUGCCUGCGUGCGGUCCCUAUUCCCGAAAGGCACGGGGACUAGGGUCGGGGGGAGGUUUAGGUUCCGGCCUCUGCCUUUCCUUCCAGGCUUUUGCUAUCGCGACCGAGCCUCCCAAUCCGGCCACUUGUUGUCGCCAACGCCUCCCAGCUGCCUCGGCAGCGCACGGGUGGGGGGUCCCUCGCAGGGCCGCAGAAGGGGAUGGGGGUAGCCCUGCACCCAGCAAGAGCGGGGCAGUCGCCCUCUCUCCCCUUCUCCCACUGCCGGAGCAGAUUGGAUUCUCAACGCGACACGAGCGGAAUGUCAAUAGGAGCGCAGAGCCACGGGCGGGCGCCGCGGAAGGGAUCAGGAUGCGGACGCUCCGGUGGCGGGCGCGGGGGGCAACAGCUCGGACUCUCCACUUCAGCCCCCGCCGCCUUGCCGCACCGUCACCGCCGGCCACGCGGCCCAGUGACCCCGCUGCGGGGCCCCGCAAGUUUCCGCAGCGCUGGGGGCCACGCGGGCAGGGGCCGGGCUGCUCCUGCGCCGCGGCGACCCCCACCGCGGCGCCCGGGGCCACCCGGCCGUCCCGCCUCCCGCGUAGCCGCUCAUCCGAGUCGCGCAGCAGGGUCCCGGGCUCCCCGGGCCAGCGCGGCACCAGGGCGCACAGUCUGCUUCGGAUUGCUGUCUCCCGCACCCCACGUUAGCAGCCAGCAGGACCCGGGUGGUGUGGACCAGGGGUGGAGCCGUUCCUUGUACCCCCUAUCCCACCUGCCUCCACUAACCCUCCCCCAGCGAGAGCGGAGAGCUGAGAACUAACGACUAGAGACCCAGAAAGGGGCCAUGAGGAGGAGGCAGACGACCCAGAGCCUGUUGGUCACAUGGCUGCAGGACACUGUGAAGAUACGUUUUCAAACCCACUUGCAGAUGAGAGUGUUUGAACUGUGCACGGCCACCUACAUGUGAGCUGUGAGCUGGCAGCGAAGGGCAGAAGCCCGGAAGCAGGUGUGGGCAGGUGCGAAGGCCCUUGGGCUGGGAGUGCUAUGCGUAUCCGAGCACAGAUGUGUGUGUCUCCGUGUACAAUUAUGGGAUCUGGUGAGCCCCUGGCCUGGGUGGGCCUCAGCUGGCCUCAGUCUCAUUCCUGGAACCCUCAUCUGAACUAUCUCCCUGCCCCCUUGGGUCCAAUCAGCCAAAGGCCCCAGCAGGAAAGCUGAUUGCCACAGCCUGGCCAUGCCCUUCCCUGGCUGAUUACAUUUUUCUGCUUGUUUCUGCUUUUGUCGCUGAUUAAUCAUAGCCCUGUCUUGGCGCCGGGAGAGAGGGGCUCAGUGAGAGACAACACCCCCAGCCACCCUGGGCCAAGGCAGGCCUGAACCUUUAGGACUUGUCUAGGGCUCUGGGUUUCUCAUAGGCAUGUGAAACCUGUAGAGAAGCCAGACAAACCCUGGCUCCCAUCUGAAUGUCUGUUCCAGGCUUCUGGCCAGUUGCUAUCUAUUCAGACCUAUAGUUGGAGUCGUAAGAGCCCCUGAGAAGCACCCAUCCCCAAAGCUCUUCUUGCGCACUUGAGCAUCCAUCAGGUCAGCUGGGUGCUUAUGCUCCUUUAAGAUUUCUGAUAGAACAGAGCUGUGACGCAGGAAGAACUAGCCGCCAACCCAGCGAGCCCUGGGCUCUUGCAUCUACCACCUUGUUUCAAUGGGACCUUAGCCAUACCCCUUAACCUCUCAGGGCCUCUAUGUUAUUUCCUGGGCAGAGGUGAGGAUGAAGCGACUUAACAUGGAAGGUGCCUGAUGAUGCGCCCUGAAUCUCUUGGGAGUUUCCCAUUAGUAUGGGAAUUCUUCCAUGGGAAUAAGAACAGUCACUGGGGGGUGUUGUAGGGGUGAUCUGCAAGCACCUUACUUGCUAAGCCUUUCCAGACAGUUUGCUAUUGGGCUAAGGGAGAGAGCUGGAGUCUGCUAUCAGACUGGCAGGAAACACUCUCUCUUGGAGCGUUCUUGGGAGGCUUCCCUGAAGCCUAGCUGCCCAGCCAGGGAAAUCUCAAAAGAAGGGGCAAAAAGAAAUCAAGAACUAAUCAAGUGGGAAUCCUUCACAGACCAGGCCCUGGGAGUCUGCUGAAGGUACAGGUGUCCCUGGAUUCAGGGGCUGCCCCCACCCCGGACAUUAACCUUGGUCCGAAUCCAAAGGGUCAAGGUGUCCAGUCAUGUGACCAGGGUACUCCCCAGGGCAGGUAGCCUCCAGAUCAAAGUGGCAGAUAACGAAAGAUAGCUUUAGUAUCAUAGUUUACCACACUCUCUAGGGUCAUCUUUGACAUUUCAGUCCCCUGGUGACUCAAAGCUGGUCCCUCUUCUCUCCCCUGAGGCAAAGCCACAGCCCAGGACACUAGCUAUUGACACAGUGGGCCACCUCUUAACACUGUUUCUCACACUAGCAGCUAUACCUGUUCUGCUUUGUCUGCUGACAGGGGACAUAGAACAUCCCUGGGCUAUGCAAGCCACCUGCCUAGUCCCUCUCCUCAAUGCCUUGCUCCCAUUUACGGGUAGGGGCAUGCCUGCUGAGGGAGCUGUAGGGACCAAAUCCAGCUGCAGAGCCCUUUGAGGAAGAGCUGGAGUUGAGAACCCAGGCAGAGGCAGGAGGUCCUGAAACCAAGCUCUGGGACAUGCUGGCCCUCACCCAUCUUCUAGACUAUGGAAUCCUGGCUGCCUCUAGGAACCAGUCAACCUCCUCCACCCUCCAGUGCUGUGUAUGACAUUUAGUGUCCUCCCUGAGCCUCAGCUUACUUGUUUAUUAAAUGGGAGAGCAUCUAAGUGCAUGCGGGACAGUCAGGCUCUGUAUGUCACACAUGUGGGGUAGGGAACAUGGUGGCUCUUUAUCUCAUCAAGCCAGGAGAAGUCUGCUGUGGAGUGAAGUGGUUCGAGAUCACUCUUAGCUUUAGAAAGCGGGUUCUGUGGCUGCAUCCCUCAGACCCACCAUGUGUGGCAUGGAGCUGGGCUGGGGUGGAAGAAUAGGAACACCUGUGAAAUGAAUGAGAGUGAGUGACAGUCACCCACCUGGCCUGCGGCACAGCAGCCCUGUCCUCUCCACUGCACAUCAGGGGAGCAGAUGGCUCCAUCACAAGGUGUGAAUUAUGUCUGUCGCUUCCCCCUUCUGGGGAAGGUGCUACUGCCAUCACAUGGCACUCCUUGGGUGCCCACCGGGAGAGACGCUUGGGUCCCAGGUGUUUCCAGGGAUCUCAGGGACAGAGGUUUACCAAGCCCCGAAACUGACCCCUUCCUCCCAAGACCUGCAGGGUUCCCAUCCUGCCUAAGACCAAGGUCCUACCUUCCCACUGCUGGAGGCCUCUCUUCUCAAGAGAAUACUUCCAGAUAGCGCAUUCCCUGGCUGGACCUACCCGCUGAUACCCGCUGCCUCUUGAACACCCACGUUCAGCACCAGGGAGAGCGCCCAGCAGAGCUCGGGCAGGCCCUGAGCUGACCCAAAGUGAGCUAGCAGAGCAAGACAAUCCCAACCAGGGAGGAAGGCGAACUGAGGAGAAGGUAGGCAGGAAGGUCAUGCCUGGGCCAUGGGCCACAGUGUUGCCAGAGCCAAGAGGCCUGACUGGAGAGGAGCUAAGCGGCAGAGAGGCACAGGUUGGGGAAAAGAGGAGUCUUGGGACAGCAGAGGCUCUGGCCUCUGCUUCUUGGCUAGAGAACAAAAUUGUUCAAAGAACCCAGCGGGGACAGUAUCUGGAGGUGAAUAAAAUAUUCAUUGUCCAGGGACUCAGUUGAUGAAUAAUGGAAUUUAUAAGCUUGCAGACUCAGACUGGGCCAGGAGAGGGUGCAGUCCGGAAACUAUGGGCCCCUUUGCUCUCUCUGUCCCUGUCCUGUGCUGGGCAUCCCUCUGAGCCUUCAGGUCCUGGCCCCUGAAGGCGAUGGGACCAAGCAUGUCAAUAUGAGCAGCCUCUGAGGGACAUGGAGGGGGGGGCAGCCUUCAGUUCUCUUGCUCCUCUAGAAGCAAUUUGAAUAUGGAAAAGACCCUGGAGAUGCUGGGUUCAGGGUGAAUACAGGCUGUCACUAGCUCUGUGCCCUGAUGGUAGUGGCAACUGUCUUGGCCUUAGUAUCCUGACUUGUGAAAUAGGCCCAUGCUGCCACGAAGAUCUGCUGAGUAAUGAAGGUAAGGGCUCCUGAUGUCACUGUUGCUGGCUCUAGAACUCCUAAGCCUCUGACUCCCACGAGAGCCUAGGAGUGACCUCCCUUUCUUGUACUGAAGCAAGCUAAAUGACAGAGAGAUGUGACCACAAACAGGGAGACCCUUCUGACCCUCCGGGCAAGGCUAGUCACCAGUCUCCAUAGAAACUUAGCCCACCAGACACACACUCAGGCACACAGCCCCUUAUCCUGAGAAAUGCUGCUUGCACUGGGCAUACUCUGACUGGAGCCUCUAAGACGGCCGGGGUUGAGCCGGGCAUGGUGGCGCAUGCCUUUAAUCCCAGCACUUGGGAGGCAGA